AGGGAGCGUAGGUGGCUCGAUAAGUCAGAUGUGAAAUCCCCGGGCUCAACCUGGGAACUGCAUCUGAUACUGUUGAGCUAGAGUAUGUGAGAGGAAGGUAGAAUUCCAGGUGUAGCGGUGAAAUGCGUAGAGAUCUGGAGGAAUACCGAUGGCGAAGGCAGCCUUCUGGCAUAAUACUGACACUGAGGCUCGAAAGCGUGGGUAGCAAACAGGAUUAGAUACCCUGGUAGUCCACGCCGUAAACGAUGUCUACUAGUCGUUGGGUCCCUUGAGGACUUAGUGACGCAGCUAACGCAAUAAGUAGACCGCCUGGGGAGUACGGCCGCAAGGUUAAAACUCAAAUGAAUUGACGGGGGCCCGCACAAGCGGUGGAGCAUGUGGUUUAAUUCGAUGCAACGCGAAAGAACCUUACCUGGUCUUGACAUAUCUAGAAUCCUGCAGAGAUGCGGGAGUGCCUUCGGGAAUUAGAAUACAGGUGCUGCAUGGCUGUCGUCAGCUCGUGUCGUGAGAUGUUGGGUUAAGUCCCGCAACGAGCGCAACCCUUGUCCUUAGUUACCAGCGGGUUAAGCCGGGAACUCUAAGGAUACUGCCAGUGACAAACUGGAGGAAGGCGGGGACGACGUCAAGUCAUCAUGGCCCUUACGACCAGGGCUACACACGUGCUACAAUGGUAGGUACAGAGGGCAGCUACACAGCGAUGUGAUGCGAAUCUCAAAAAGCCUAUCGUAGUCCAGAUUGGAGUCUGCAACUCGACUCCAUGAAGUAGGAAUCGCUAGUAAUC
rnacentral:rRNA from 1 species